UGGCUGCGGCCAGAAGGCCCAAGGUUUUCAGGUGUAAUUUCUAGGAUUAGAGAAAGUAAACUAAUGGAUGACUUGACAGCCAGAGUUCAGGGGACCGCGGCAGCUUUCCAGAGAAUUUGGGAACCAUGGGACAAUAGCGUAGUGGGCACGGGAGGAGACUGAGGGCGACCUUUUGGAGAUGAGGGAGACUUUAGUAGGACAGGCCCAGAGGCCUACUGGUGAUGGGAAGUGGUGCGGCUCCCUUGUCGUCCCCUCCCCCUCCACCCUCUCCUCC